UACGUAGGGUGCGAGCGUUAAUCGGAAUUACUGGGCGUAAAGCGUGCGCAGGCGGUAAGGUAAGUCUGAUGUGAAAGCCCCGGGCUCAACCUGGGAAUGGCAUUGGAAACUGGCUUGCUAGAGUGUGGCAGAGGGGGGUGGAAUUCCGCGUGUAGCAGUGAAAUGCGUAGAGAUGCGGAGGAACACCGAUGGCGAAGGCAAUCCCCUGGGCCUGCACUGACGCUCAUGCACGAAAGCGUGGGGAGCAAACAGG
rnacentral:rRNA from 1 species